rnacentral:rRNA from 1 species
GUGGGGAAUAUUGGACAAUGGGCGAAAGCCUGAUCCAGCCAUGCCGCGUGUGUGAAGAAGGUCUUCGGAUUGUAAAGCACUUUAAGUUGGGAGGAAGGGCAGUAAGUUAAUACCUUGCUGUUUUGACGUUACCGACAGAAUAAGCACCGGCUAACUUCGUGCCAGCAGCCGCGGUAAUACGAAGGGUGCAAGCGUUAAUCGGAAUUACUGGGCGUAAAGCGCGCGUAGGUGGUUUUGUAAGUUGGAGGUGAAAUCCCCGGUCUCAACCUGGGAACUGCAUCCAAAACUGCAUGACUAGAGUACGGUAGAGGGUAGUGGAAUUUCCUGUGUAGCGGUGAAAUGCGUAGAUAUAGGAAGGAACACCAGUGGCGAAGGCGACUACCUGGACUGAUACUGACACUGAGGUGCGAAAGCGUGGGGAGCAAACAGGAUUAGAUACCCGAGUAGUCU